CCACCGCGGUUAGACGAGAGGCCCAAGUUGAUAGGGAACGGCGUAAAGUGUGGUUAAGGAACAUAUAUAGUAAAGCCGAACAUCUUCAACGUUGUUAUAAGCUCUCGAAGAUUGGAAGCCCUACUACGAAAGUGGCUUUACCACCCCCGAACCCACGAAAGCCAGGGGACAAACUGGGAUUAGAUACCCCACUAUGCCUGGUCAUAAACACUGAUAAACUAUUACAUAUAUUAUCCGCCUGGGUAUUACGAGCGCUAGCUUAAAACCCAAAGGACUUGGCGGUGCUUUAGACCCACCUAGAGGAGCCUGUUCUAUAACCGAUGAUCCCCGUUCAACCUCACCCUUCCGUUUGUUCUGCCUAUAUACCGCCGUCGCCAGCCCAUCCCGUGAGGGAUAUGUACUGAGCCACCCCGGUAAUGCCUUCGAUGACAGGUCGAGGUGUAGCAUGUGGAAGGGGAAGUAAUGGGCUACAUUCACUGCCCCAGUGAACCACGACUGACACGGUGAAAGCUGUGCCUAAAGGUGGAUUUAGUAGUAAGAGGAGAGUAGAGUGCCCCUCUGAACUUGGCCCUGAAGUGCGUACACAUCGCCCGUCACUCUCCCCGAAUUAGUCUUCGACCAGUAACUAACAUCUAGACGAUGUAGAGGGGAGGCAAGUCGUAACACGGUAAGUG
rnacentral:rRNA from 1 species